rnacentral:rRNA from 1 species
AUUGAACGCUGGCGGCAGGCCUAACACAUGCAAGUCGAACGAGUGGCGGACGGGCGAGCAAUGUCUGGGAAAAUGCCUGAUGGAGGGGGAUAACUACGGGAAACGGUAGCUAAUACCGCAUACCAUCGGAUGUGCCCAGAUGGGAUGAGCUAGUAGGUGGGGGAAAGGUUCACCUAGGCGACGAUCCCUAGCUGGUCUGAGAGGAUGACGCGCCACACUGGAACUGAGACACGGUCCAGACUCCUACGGGAGGCAGCAGUGGGGAAUAUUGCGCAAUGGGCGCAAGCCUGAUGCAGCCAUGCCGCGUGUAUGAAGACGGCCUUCGGGUUGUAAAGUACUUUCAGCGGGGAGGCGUUACCCGCAGAAGAAGCACCGGCUAACUCCGUGCCAGCAGCCGCGGUAAUAC